GUGCUCACUUAGGCAGCACUUAAGCUAAAAUUAUGAACAAUACGGAGAAGAUUAGCACAGCCCUUGCACAAGGAUGUCACCAAAUUCAUGAAGUGUUCGUACUUUAA
ensembl:snRNA U6 U6 spliceosomal RNA